UACGUAGGGGGCAAGCGUUAUCCGGAUUUACUGGGUGUAAAGGGAGCGUAGACGGCGGUGCAAGCCAGAUGUGAAAGCCCGGGGCUCAACCCCGGCGAGCCGUUGAAACUGCCGUGCUAGAGAGGAAGAGAAGUAGGCGGAAUGCGCAGUGUAGCGGUGAAAUGCUUAGAUAUUGCGCAGAACUCCGAUUGCGAAGGCAGCCUACCGGCUUCUGUCUGACGCUGAGGCACGAAAGCGUGGGUAUCGAACAGG
rnacentral:rRNA from 1 species